GUAGGUGAACCUGCGGAAGGAUCAUUAAGAGAUUGAGAGAGAUGAUGAUAAUAUUUACUAGUGGUACCAGUAUUACUAGGAAAGAAUUUAUUCAACAAUUACAAAAUACAAAUAUUUACAUGAGCACCUUGCUGCAAUGGGUCUCUCGGCUCUU
rnacentral:misc_RNA from 1 species